AGAGUUUGAUCAUGGCUCAGAUUGAACGCUGGCGGCAUGCUUUACACAUGCAAGUCGAACGGCAGCGCGGGCUUCGGCCUGGCGGCGAGUGGCGAACGGGUGAGUAAUGCAUCGGAACGUACCCAGUCGUGGGGGAUAACACAUCGAAAGAUGUGCUAAUACCGCAUACGUCCUGAGGGAGAAAGCGGGGGACCUUCGGGCCUCGCGCGAUUGGAGCGGCCGAUGUCAGAUUAGCUAGUAGGUGGGGUAAAGGCCCACCUAGGCGACGAUCUGUAGCGGGUCUGAGAGGAUGAUCCGCCACACUGGGACUGAGACACGGCCCAGACUCCUACGGGAGGCAGCAGUGGGGAAUUUUGGACAAUGGGGGCAACCCUGAUCCAGCCAUGCCGCGUGAGUGAAGAAGGCCUUCGGGUUGUAAAGCUCUUUCGGCCGGGAAGAAAUCGCGCUCUUUAAUAGAGGGUGUGGAUGACGGUACCGGACUAAGAAGCACCGGCUAACUACGUGCCAGCAGCCGCGGUAAU
rnacentral:rRNA from 1 species